ACAAGCGGUGGAGUAUGUGGUUUAAUUCGAUGCAACGCGAAGAACCUUACCUGGUCUUGACAUCCCGGAGACCCUUAGGAAACUAGGGGUGCUUCCAUCUGGAAGAAUCUGGAGACAGGUGCUGCAUGGCUGUCGUCAGCCCGUGUCGUGAGAUGUUGGGUUAAGUCCCGCAACGAGCGCAACCCUUGCCUUUAGUUGCCAGCAGUUCGGCUGGGCACUCUAAAGGGACUGCCGGUGUUAAACCGGAGGAAGGUGGGGAUGACGUCAAGUCCUCAUGGCCUUUAUGACCAGGGCUACACACGUACUACAAUGGCCGAUACAAAGGGCAGCGACACUGCGAGGUGAAGCCAAUCCCGUAAAAUCGGUCUCAGUCCGGAUUGGAGUCUGCAACUCGACUCCAUGAAGUUGGAAUCGCUAGUAAUCGUGGAUCAGCAUGCCACGGUGAAUACGUUCCCGGGCCUU
rnacentral:rRNA from 1 species